CCAACUUCCAGCAAGAAUUUCACUUUUUAAGCUUUGUGUUAUGUAUAUGAGAAUUUACCUGCUUGUGUCUCUGUGCAGUACCUGCAGAGACCAGAAGAUGGAAUCAGAGCCCUUGCACCUGGAGUUAUAAGCAAGCAUGGUUUCCAGCAUAUGGAGGGAGCUCACUCCCACAGCUGAGUGAUUAUUGAGUACAGUCCAUGUCAGCUUGACCUCAGGAGGAAUAAACUCAAUGAGGGGAACACCUGACAUGUGAGUUUCUGGGCUCCAAUUGCUGCCUAUUUACCACAUUGGAGAUAAUCUCACUCUUGUGGCUUGGAUUAAAUGGUCAACCAUCA